ACAGGUGACAAGUACCUGAGAUUAGACUUGAAUUCAGAUCUUCCUGAAUUCAAUUCAGGUCACUCCAUUCAGUGGGCUAUCUUGCUGCCAACCUAAAAGCUAACUAAUCAUUAGGAACCAGUUCUUUACAUUAACCUUAAAUCUGCCUUUUGGUCAGUCUCUAGCCUCGACUUUUGAUGUUGCCGUUCGAAGUCAAACAGAAUGAGAUCGAUCCCUUUUCAACAUGGCGCUGUCUCAGUUACUUGGACUCCUAUUAUGCUUUCUCUUCUCUGGGGUGUUCCCACAAGUGAUCCUUAUGGACGUGUACCAGCCCAGAACCCCAUGAGGAGCCUGGAGAGCCCGGGGGCGUCCCGAUGACAUGCACAGAAAUACCUUAGACAGACGUCAUCAGCUUGGAAGGCACAACUAUUGGGAAGCAAGUGGCUCUCCUGCUGAUGUCCAGAUCUGGAUCGGACUAUAUGGCCACUGUGGUCCCUGCCAACUCUCCAGUUUUGUGAUUCUGAUUACCUUUCAAACCAUUGUGAUCCUGGAAACCGUGGUCCAUCUUUUUAACAAUAAUAGACUUCUGUUAUGUGGUCAUGAGUCAAUAAAAUCAAAGAA